ACUCCUACGGGAGGCAGCAGUGGGGAAUAUUGCACAAUGGGCGCAAGCCUGAUGCAGCCAUGCCGCGUGUAUGAAGAAGGCCUUCGGGUUGUAAAGUACUUUCAGCGGGGAGGAAGGCGAUGAGGUUAAUAACCUUAUCCAUUGACGUUACCCGCAGAAGAAGCACCGGCUAACUCCGUGCCAGCAGCCGCGGUAAUACGGAGGGUGCAAGCGU
rnacentral:rRNA from 1 species